AGCAGCCGCGGUAAUUCCAGCUCCAAUAGCGUAUAUUAAAGUUGUUGCAGUUAAAAAGCUCGUAGUUGAAUUUCGGGGUUAGUAGGUUGGUCAUGCCUCUGGUAUGUACUGGUCUCACUGAUUCCUCCUUCCUGAUGAGCCGUAAUGCCAUUAAUUUGGUGUUGCGGGGAAUUUGGACUGUUACUUUGAAAAAAUUAGAGUGUUUAAAGCAAGCUAACGCUUGAAUACAUUAGCAUGGAAUAAUGAAAUAGGACGUUCGAUCCUAUUUUGUUGGUUUCUAGGAUUGACGUAAUGAUUAAUAGGGAUAGUUGGGGGCAUUAGUAUUCAAUUGUCAGAGGUGAAAUUCUUGGAUUUAUUGAAGACUAACUACUGCGAAAGCAUUUGCCAAGGAUGUUUUCAUUAAUCAAGAACGAAAGUUAGGGGAUCGAAGACAAUCAGAUACCGUCGUAGUCUUAACCAUAAACUAUGCCGACUAGGGAUCGGAUGAUGUUAAUUUUUUAAUGACUCAUUCGGCGCCUUA
rnacentral:rRNA from 1 species